rnacentral:rRNA from 1 species
AUUGAACGCUGGCGGCAGGCUUAACACAUGCAAGUCGAGCGAGCGGCGGACGGGUGAGUAAUGUCUGGGAAACUGCCCGAUGGAGGGGGAUAACUACUGGAAACGGUAGCUAAUACCGCAUACCAUCAGAUGUGCCCAGAUGGGAUUAGCUAGUAGGUGGGGUAAUGGCUCACCUAGGCGACGAUCCCUAGCUGGUCUGAGAGGAUGACCAGCCAAACUGGGACGGAGACACGGUCCAGACUCCGACGGGAGGCAGCAGUGGGGAAUAGUGCACAAUGGGCGCAAGCCUGAGGCAGCCAUGCCGCGUGUGUGAAGAAGGCCUUCGGGUUGUAAAGAACUUUCAGCGAGGAGGCGUUACUCGCAGAAGAAGCACCGGCUAACUCCGUGCCAGCAGCCGCGGUAAUUC